GCUGAGUAGAUGGGGGAAGAGCACUGGAUGUCACGCACCCUGACUUCAGCUAGGCAUUCGACACUGUCUUCCAAAACAUCUUUGUUAUGAAACUUAGAAAGUGUGAGAUAGAUGAGUGGACAGUAAGCUGUUUCAGGGCAGUGCUUACACCAAGUCCAGGCCUUUUCUGCUUCUCCUGCUGCCUUGCUGGCCAGCAGAUGGGAGUAUAGAAGGAGUUGGAAGGAAAUCAGCAAGAGAAGUGGAACAACUGACCCAAAGUGGCAUCAUGCUCAGCAUUAGAAGCUGAGGUCAAAAUAGGCAGUCUGUUGAAAUGCCAAGAACUCAAGAGGACAGUGAAAGGCAAAUGGCAUCCCAAACUUACCCGUUAGCCAAUGACCUGUGCAGAUCCUUCUGAGUCAACUGAAGUUGAAGCUCUCUUCAUUGAUAAAAAGGUCUUAAGCAAGGAAAGAAUGAAGUCUGAUGAUAUUUUCUUUUCCUCUGAAAAUCCUGCCAAGGUGAACUCAGACAGUGCAGAACUCAGCAUCCUCUUUAAACAAGUUGGUCAGAAAUUCCUCCAGCACCUCUCACAUCUUCUUUCAUCACCUGCCCCAGCCUCCAUAUGGAUUAUGCUUCAUGGCUUUCAUCUUCGCUCCAAGGAGUGCUGGGAUGGUAGAUGAGAAGGAAAGGUAACAGGAGGCAACGUCAAUAAACAGUAAAAGACAA